UCAAGCUAAUAAGAGCAUAUGGUGGAUGCCUUGGCACCAGGAGCCGAAGAAGGACGUGACAAGCUGCGAAAAGCUGUGGUAAGCCGCAAAUAGGCCAUGACCCACAGACCUCCGAAUGAGGAAACUCACCUAAGGUAAUGCUUAGGUAUCAUACAGUCAAUAAAAUAGCUGUAUGAAGGGACACCGGGGGAACUGAAACAUCUAAGUACCCCGAGGAAAAGAAAGAAACAUCGAUUCCCUAAGUAGCGGCGAGCGAACGGGGAAGAGCCCAAACCCGUUGAGAGGUGAGAGGUGAGAAAUGAGAAGUGAGAUAACAAGUAAGAAACUCUAAAAGAGUUUCAACAAGAAAUCCCACCUCCCACAUCCCAGUUCUCACUUCUCAAUGGGGGUUAGGACCGGCAUAAACCAUAAGACCCUUAGCCGAAUAGAGCUGGAAAGCUCAAUCGCAGAAGGUAAAAAUCCUGUAGGCGAAAAGGGAAAUAUGGAAGCUGGAAUCCAGAGUACCACGAGGAACGAGAAACCUAGUGGGAAUACGGGAGGCCCACCUCCCAAGGCUAAAUACUACCUGGUGACCGAUAGCGCACAGUACCGUGAGGGAAAGGUGAAAAGAACCCCGGGAGGGGAGUGAAAAAGAACCUGAAACCGUAUGCUUACAAUCGGUGGGAGCACAUUUAAGUGUGACCGCGUACUUUUUGUAGAACGGACCAGCGAGUUGCGAUGGCUAGCGAGGUUAAGGACCUAUGGUCUGAAGCCGAAGCGAAAGCGAGCCUUAAUAGGGCGUAAAGUUAGCUAUUGCAGACCCGAAACCGGGUGACCUAUCCAUGGACAGGGUGAAGUUGAAGUAAAAUUCAAUGGAGGCCCGAACUCACCGUUGUUGAAAAAACGGGGGAUGAGCUGUGGAUAGCGGAGAAAUUCCAAUCGAACUCGGAGAUAGCUGGUUCUCCCCGAAAUAGCUUUAGGGCUAGCCUCAAUGGAGAAUCUCGGAGGUAGAGCACUGAAUGGGCUAGGGGCUUUUAAGGUUACCGAACCCUAUCAAACUCCGAAUGCCGAAGAUUUGCUCAUUGGGAGUCAGACUACGAGUGAUAAGAUCCGUGGUCAAAAGGGAAAGAGCCCAGACCAUCAGCUAAGGUCCCCAAAUCCAAACUAAGUGGAAAAGGAUGUGUGACUACACAGACAACCAGGAUGUUGGCUUAGAAGCAGCCACUCAUUCAAAGAGUGCGUAAUAGCUCACUGGUCAAGUGGUCAUGCGCCGAAAAUGUCCGGGGCUAAAGUUUGGUACCGAAGCUAUGGCUUUUGAGAAGUGGGAAGUGAGAGGUGAGAAGUGGGAAUGAUAAAAAGCUUUAAGGAUAUGAGGAUAUAUCAAAAAUCCUAUGAACUAAGCAUAAGAGUUCACACAUUAACACUUAAGUACCCAGAGUAUGAAAAGUAUGAGAUAGGAAGCCAGAUAAGAAGAGCAGCAAUGUCAGUACCCUUAAAUAUAGCUGAAGGCUAUGGAAAGAAAGAAUCAAUUGCAGACUUUAAAAGAUUUCUAAGGAUGGCAGUAGGGUCAUGUAAUGAGAUAGAGGUACUGAUGGAUAUGAGCAAAGACUUAGGCUAUAUAGAUGAAAGUACACAUAAAGAAAUAACAGAACAAUAUAUAGCAGUAAGAAAACAGAUAAUAUCGGCAAUCGAAAAAUGGAAGAAUGGCUAAAAAUCUCACAUCUCACAUCUGACUUCCCACUUCUCAGAGGGGUAGGGGAGCAUCGUAUAAGGGCAGAAGCCAUACCGAAAGGAGUGGUGGACUAUAUACGAGAGAGAAUGCUGGUAUAAGUAGCGAAAGUUAAGUGAGAAUCUUAACCGUCGAAAAUCUAAGGAUUCCUGAGGAAGGUUCGUCCGCUCAGGGUAAGUCGGGACCUAAGGAGAGGCGUAAAGCGUAUCCGAUGGACAAUCGGUUGACAUUCCGAUACCACCUAGAAUCGCAUGGAGGAAGCAGUGACGCAGGAGGAUAAGAUGAGCACGGUGUUGGUUAUCCGUGUCCAAGCACAAAGGCUGACAUACAGGAAAGACCGUAUGUUAUAGGCUGAUGUGUUAAGGGGAGUGAAAUCCAAGUAACGAAGCAUCUGAUUUCACACUGUCAAGAAAAGCUGCUAACGAGAAACUAGGUGCCCGUACCGCAAACCGACACAGGUAGAUGAGGAGAGAAUCCUAAGACGAGCGAGAGAAGCGUUGUUAAGGAACUCGGCAAAAUAACCCCGUAACUUCGGGAGAAGGGGUACUCUAGAAAUAGAGUCGCAGUGAAAAGGCCCAAGCGACUGUUUAGCAAAAACACAGGUCUCUGCUAAAUCGAAAGAUGAAGUAUAGGGGCUGACGCCUGCCCGGUGCUGGAAGGUUACGGGGAUCUGUUAGCGCAAGCGAAGCAGUGAACUUAAGCCCCAGUAAACGGCGGCCGUAACUAUAACGGUCCUAAGGUAGCGAAAUUCCUUGUCAGGUAAGUUCUGACCCGCACGAAUGGCGUAACGACUUGGGCACUGUCUCGACAACGCGCUCGGCGAAAUUGUAGUACUAGUGAAGAUGCUAGUUACCCGCGAUUGGACGGAAAGACCCCGUAGAGCUUUACUGUAGCUUGGCAUUGGGUUUCGGUAUUUCAUGUACAGGAUAGGUGGGAGACUGAGAAGUAGUGACGCCAGUCACUAUGGAGUCAACGUUGGGAUACCACUCUUGAGAUACUGAAAUUCUAACCAGUGGCCGUAUAACCGGUCAUGGGACAUAGCCAGGCGGGCAGUUUGACUGGGGCGGUCGCCUCCCAAAGAGUAACGGAGGCGUCCAAAGGUUCCCUCAGAAUGGUUGGAAAUCAUUCGCAGAGUGCAAAGGCAAAAGGGAGCUUAACUGCAAGAGAGACAACUCGAGCAGAUACGAAAGUAGGGCUUAGUGAUCCGGUGGUACCGAGUGGAAGGGCCAUCGCUCAACGGAUAAAAGCUACCC
rnacentral:rRNA from 1 species